GAUGAACGCUGGCGGCGUGCCUAAUACAUGCAAGUCGAGCGAAUGGAUUAAGAGCUUGCUCUUAUGAAGUUAGCGGCGGACGGGUGAGUAACACGUGGGUAACCUGCCCAUAAGACUGGGAUAACUCCGGGAAACCGGGGCUAAUACCGUAUAACAUUUUGAACAGCAUGGUUCGAAAUUGAACGGCGGCUUCGGCUGUCACUUAUGGAUGGACCCGGGUCGCAUUAGCUAGUUGGUGAGGUAACGGCUCACCAAGGCAACGAUGCGUAGCCGACCUGAGAGGGUGAUCGGCCACACUGGGACUGAGACACGGCCCAGACUCCUACGGGAGGCAGCAGUAGGGAAUCUUCCGCAAUGGACGAAAGUCUGACGGAGCAACGCCGCGUGAGUGAUGAAGGCUUUCGGGUCGUAAAACUCUGUUGUUAGGGAAGAACAAGUGCUAGUUGAAUAAGCUGGCACCUUGACGGUACCUAACCAGAAAGCCACGGCUAACUACGUGCCAGCCGCCGCGGUAA
rnacentral:rRNA from 1 species